AAGAUUUUAAGUUAAAUAAUAAACUUCGAGCCUUCAAAGCUCAUAAUAAAAAUAAAUUUUAAAUCUUA
rnacentral:tRNA from 1 species